rnacentral:rRNA from 1 species
UACGUAGGGGGCAAGCGUUGUCCGGAAUCAUUGGGCGUAAAGCGCGCGCAGGCGGUUCUUAAGUCUGAUGUGAAAGCCCACGGCUCAACGUGGAGGGUCAUUGGAAACUGGGGAACUUGAGUACAGAAGAGGAAAGCGGAAUUCCACGUGUAGCGGUGAAAUGCGUAGAGAUGUGGAGGAACACCAGUGGCGAAAGGCGGCUUUCUGGUCUGUAACUGACGCUGAGGCGCGAAAGCGUGGGGAGCAAACAGG